rnacentral:lncRNA from 1 species
CUCUCUCUAACUCUGAUUUUUGCUGUGCGCUCCUUCCGAGAAUCCUUCCUGUGUGGUUUCAGAAGACACAGCCUUGCUGUGGACCCCCUCGCAGAUGUGAAAAAACCAGCAGCCACCCUCAGGGUGACCCAGCCUUUGGAAUGAACGACAGUUGGCAAGGCUACAGUCCUGAGGAGAUGAGCACCUCAACACACCUGCGACCACGUUAUGAUGUGGCAGCACACUGUGGCACACAGCCAAAGGAAACACUCCCUUCCCGAAUAGGGAUGAGGAGGAGAGGACGACGAAGAACCCAAUUGCAGUUUGUGAAGCAAGAGAGAGGCUCAGAGGAUGUCGGACCACAACAGUUAGAAGCUCGUGGCCUUCACUGCUAACCAACCACAAACAAACCAGUGAACACCCAUCCUGCUUUCACUCUGCAUUCUGUGCUGUGUGGAGGGAUUGUCUGCUGGCCCCUGGGAGGUGAAGUUCUGUGUUAGUCCUGGAGCACCUGCCUCCAUCCAUUGCUGGGGGUCGUUCUCUUGAUCAUCUCUUGGUGUGGCUGAGUGUUUCUACAAACAGAAACUCAUCGACAGACGUCCUCUGGUGCCCACUGACAAGCUAGCAGCAAACCCACCCAGCCUGCUGCUUUGUGGAUGCCGAUGGCAGUGUCCCUGAGUGCUUUUGGGGCACACCGCCUGUGUGUUAAAUAUCCUCUAAUAGCUAGAAGAGCCACCUAUUAUUUGGAAAGCCC